GAUGAACGCUAGCGACAGGCUUAACACAUGCAAGUCGAGGGGCAGCAGGGGAGUAGCAAUACUCCCGCUGGCGACCGGCGCACGGGUGAGUAACACGUAUGCAACCUGCCCUUGUCAGGGGGAUAAGCGGAAGAAAUUCCGUCUAAUACCGCAUAACGCUGCGGGGAGACAUCUCCCUGCAGCCAAAGAUUUAUCGGACAAGGAUGGGCAUGCGGCGCAUUAGCUUGUUGGCGGGGUAACGGCCCACCAAGGCGACGAUGCGUAGGGGUUCUGAGAGGAAGGUCCCCCACACUGGUACUGAGACACGGACCAGACUCCUACGGGAGGCAGCAGUGAGGAAUAUUGGUCAAUGGCCGGGAGGCUGAACCAGCCAAGUCGCGUGAGGGAAGACGGUCCUAUGGAUUGUAAACCUCUUUUGUCAGGGAGCAAAAACUGCCACGCGUGGCAGGAUGAGAGUACCUGAAGAAAAAGCAUCGGCUAACUCCGUGCCAGCAGCCGCGGUAAUACGGAGGAUGCGAGCGUUAUCCGGAUUUAUUGGGUUUAAAGGGUGCGUAGGCGGACAGUUAAGUCAGCGGUAAAAUUGAGAGGCUCAACCUCUUCCCGCCGUUGAAACUGAUUGUCUUGAGUGGGCGAGAAGUAUGCGGAAUGCGUGGUGUAGCGGUGAAAUGCAUAGAUAUCACGCAGAACUCCGAUUGCGAAGGCAGCAUACCGGCGCCCAACUGACGCUGAAGCACGAAAGCGUGGGUAUCGAACAGGAUUAGAUACCCUGGUAGUCCACGCAGUAAACGAUGAAUACUAAUUGUUCGGGUCGAGUGAGAUCUGAGUGAUACAGCGAAAGCGUUAAGUAUUCCACCUGGGGAGUACGCCGGCAACGGUGAAACUCAAAGGAAUUGACGGGGGCCCGCACAAGCGGAGGAACAUGUGGUUUAAUUCGAUGAUACGCGAGGAACCUUACCCGGGCUCAAACGACACAGGAAUGAUCUGAGAAAUCAGGCAGUCCUUCGGGACCUGUGUCGAGGUGCUGCAUGGUUGCCGUCAGCUCGUGCCGUGAGGUGUCGGCUUAAGUGCCAUAACGAGCGCAACCCCCAUCGACAGUUGCCAGCAGGUCAAGCUGGGCACUCUGUCGAGACUGCCGGCGCAAGCUGUGAGGAAGGCGGGGAUGACGUCAAAUCAGCACGGCCCUUACGUCCGGGGCGACACACGUGUUACAAUGGCAGGUACAGCGGGAAGCCACCUGGCGACAGGGAGCGGAACCCGAAAGCCUGUCUCAGUUCGGAUUGGAGUCUGCAACUCGACUCCAUGAAGCUGGAUUCGCUAGUAAUCGCGCAUCAGCCACGGCGCGGUGAAUACGUUCCCGGGCCU
rnacentral:rRNA from 1 species